rnacentral:tRNA from 1 species
GCGGGCGUAGCUCAGGGGUAGAGCACUAGCUUCCCAAGCUGGGUGUCGAGGGUUCGAAUCCCUUCACCCGCU